rnacentral:rRNA from 1 species
GACGAACGCUGGCGGCGCGCUUAACACAUGCAAGUCGAGCGAGAACCAGGGCUUCGGCCCUGGGGAAAGCGGCGAACGGGUGAGUAACACGUGAGUAACCUGUCCUCGGCACCGGGAUAGCCCGGGGAAACCCGGAUUAAUACCGGAUGGCCCUUCGAGUCCUCGGGCUCGUCAGAAAAGGGAGCUUCGGCCUCCGGCCGAGGAGGGACUCGCGGCGGAUUAGCUUGUUGGUGGGGUAACGGCUCACCAAGGCGACGAUCCGUAGCUGGUCUGAGAGGACGAUCAGCCACACUGGGACUGAGACACGGCCCAGACUCCUACGGGAGGCAGCAGUGGGGAAUCUUGCGCAAUGGGCGAAAGCCUGACGCAGCGACGCCGCGUGCGGGAAGAAGGCCU